AGGACGAACGCUGGCGGCGUGCCUAAUACAUGCAAGUCGAACGGUCUUUCUAUGGAAGCUUGCUUCCACUGAGGAGAUAGUGGCGAACGGGUGAGUAACACGUGGGUAACCUGCCCAUAAGAGGGGGAUAACAUCCGGAAACGGGUGCUAAUACCGCAUAGUUUUCUUGAUCGCAUGAUCGGGAAAGGAAAGACGGCCUUUGUGCUGUCGCUUAUGGAUGGACCCGCGGCGUAUUAGUUAGUUGGUGAGGUAACGGCUCACCAAGACGAUGAUACGUAGCCGACCUGAGAGGGUGAUCGGCCACAUUGGGACUGAGACACGGCCCAAACUCCUACGGGAGGCAGCAGUAGGGAAUCUUCCGCAAUGGACGAAAGUCUGACGGAGCAACGCCGCGUGAGUGAAAGAAGGUUUUCGGAUCGUAAAACUCUGUUGUCAGAGAAGAACAAGUUGGAGAGUAACUGCUCCAGCCUUGACGGUAUCUGACCAGAAAGCCACGGCUAACUACGUGCCAGCCGCCGC
rnacentral:rRNA from 1 species